GGUGUCUUGUAUGUUGUUUCGUCGUUUCACGUUUUAUACCAUAAAAAAAACCUAAAGAUAUUUGUACCCACCAUCCAGUAACGUUGACCACUUGUUAUGUACCAAGCGUUUUCUAAUUCUAGAUUUAUUUUUUAGUUUUAAGUUUGAAGUCUACCAUGAGAAAUAUUUGUUUUAAGGUUUGAGAAGUUUUAUUUCUUUUUGCAGAGAAGAAAC
rnacentral:lncRNA from 1 species